GACGAACGCUGGCGGCGUGCCUAACACAUGCAAGUCGAGCGGGGUUGAAGCGAGGGGUAACUCGAGUUUCUACCUAGCGGCGGACGGGUGAGUAACGCGUGGGCAACCUGCCUCAAGGACUGGGAUAACAGCUCGAAAGGGCUGCUAAUACCGGAUAUGCCUGUGGCCUCGCAUGGGGCUAUGAGCAAAGGGGAAACCCGCCUUGAGAUGGGCCCGCGUCCCAUCAGCUAGUUGGUGAGGUGAAGGCUCACCAAGGCGACGACGGGUAGCCGGCCUGAGAGGGUGACCGGCCACACUGGGACUGAGACACGGCCCAGACUCCUACGGGGGGCAGCAGUGGGGAAUCUUGCACAAUGGGCGAAAGCCUGAUGCAGCGACGCCGCGUGAGCGAAGAAGGCCUUCGGGUUGUAAAGCUCUGUCUGGAGGGACGAAGGAAGUGACGGUACCUCCGGAGGAAGCCACGGCUAACUACGUGCCAGCAGCCGCGGUAAUACGUAGCGU
rnacentral:rRNA from 1 species